rnacentral:rRNA from 1 species
AUUGAACGCUAGCGAUAGGCCUAACACAUGCAAGUCGAGGGGCAUCACAUGAAGUAGCAAUACGGAUGGUGCGACCGGCGCACGGGUGAGUAACACGUAUGCAACCUGCCUUCAACAAGGGGAUAACCCGUUGAAAGACGGACUAAUACCCUAUAACACAGGGGUCCCCAUGGGAAUAUUUGUUAAAGGACAACCGGUUGAAGAUGGGCAUGCGUUCCAUUAGCUAGUUGGCGGGUAACGGCCCACCAAGGCAACGAUGGAUAGGGGAACUGAGAGGUUUAUCCCCCACACUGGUACUGAGACACGGACCAGACUCCUACGGGAGGCAGCAGUGAGGAAUAUUGGUCAAUGGACGCAAGUCUGAACCAGCCACGUCGCGUGAAGGAAGACGGCCCUACGGGUUGUAAACUUCUUUUAACGGGAAUAAAGUGCCCCACGCGUGGGGUUUUGCAUGUACCGUAUGAAUAAGGAUCGGCUAACUCCGUGCCAGCAGCCGC